UUAAAAAUUAAUUACUAAAAUUUUGUUUGAUAAAAUUUUAUUUAAUAAAAAUAAUUUUAUAAUAAAAGGUUUUUGUAUUUUUUAAAAAUAUAAUAUGUAUUGUAAUAGUUUAAUAGUAUAGUAAUAGAAUAUUGAAAUAAAUUAUAUUAAAUUAAAAGUAAAUUUAAUUUAUUGUACCUUUUGUAUCAGGGUUUAUUAAAAAAAAAUUUUUUUUAAAAAAUUAUCUCGAAUUUAAGAGAGUUAAAAAAUUAUGAAAGUUAAUGUUUAAUAAUUAUUUUAAAUAAUUUUUUAGAAAUGAAACGUUAAUCGUUCUUAAUAUAUCUAGUUUUUAAAGAAAUGAAUUUAAUUCAUAUAUUAUUAUAAUAAUAAUUUAAUUAAAAAAAUUAUUAUAAAAUAAUAUAAAUAUUUUAAGGGAUUAGCUUUAAAAUAAUAGUUAUAAAUUUAAUAUAAAAUAUUAAUAAUGUAAGAAUAGAAAUUUCUAUCAAAAAGUAAAGUGUUAUAAUUAAUUUAUGUAAAAAAUAAAAUUUAUUAAAAUUUUAAUUUAUUUAUUUAAAUAAUAUUAAAAAUUUUUUUAAUAUGAAAUAAUGAUAAAAUUAGUAUUAUAAAUAGUAUAAAUAAAAAAUUUAUUAAGAUUAUAAUAAGGAAUUCAGCAAAUUAAUACUCACCUGUUUAUCAAAAACAUGUCUUUUUGAAAAUAAUUUAAAGUCUAACCUGCCCACUGAUUUAUUAAAGGGCCGCGGUAUAUUGACUGUGCAAAGGUAGCAUAAUCAUUUGUCUUUUAAUUGAAGGCUAGAAUGAAUGGUUGAAUGAAGUAUUGACUGUCUCAUUAUAAAAAGUAUAAAAAUUUAAUUUUUUAGUCAAAAAGCUAAAAUUUAAUUAGAGGACGAGAAGACCCUAUAGAUCUUUAUAUUAUAAUUUAAAAUAAGUUUAUUGAAAAAAAAAUAUUAUUUUUGAUUAUAAUAUUUUGUUGGGGUGACAGGAAAAUUUAAUAAACUAUUUUUAUUUAAAACCAAUAAUAAUUGAAUAAUUGAUCCAAUAAUAUUGAUUAAAAGUUUAAGUUACCUUAGGGAUAACAGCGUAAUUUUUUUGGCGAGUUCAUAUUAAUAAAAAAGAUUGCGACCUCGAUGUUGAAUUAAAGGUUAUUUCUAAAUGCAGAAGUUUAGAGUUUAGGUCUGUUCGACCUUUGAAUCUUUACAUGAUUUGAGUUCAGACCGGCGUGAGCCAGGUCGGUUUCUAUCCUUAAUAUAAAAAAAAUAUUUUAGUACGAAAGGACCAAAUAUUAAAAAUAAUUUUUAGAUAUUGAAUAAUAUUAAUAUAUAAAU
rnacentral:rRNA from 1 species